UACGAGGGGGGCAAGCGUUGUUCGGAUUUAUUGGGCGUAAAGGGUGCGUAGGCGGUUUGGCAAGUCUUGUGUGAAAUCUUUGGGCUCAACCCAAAGCCUGCACGAGAAACUGCCGGGCUUGAGUAUGGGAGAGGUGAGUGGAAUUUCCGGUGUAGCGGUGAAAUGCGCAGAUAUCGGGAAGAACACCCGUGGCGAAGGCGGCUCUCUGGGACGGUACUGACGCUGAGACGCGAAAGCGUGGGGAGCGAACAGG
rnacentral:rRNA from 1 species